UUUAAGUGCAACCAUAACUUUCCGUGCUCAACUUUAGUUGUCCGUCUUAUUUGAAAUUUUUUUGUAAUUAGUAUUUUUGUUGUUACGAGAUGAUAAAAUAUGAAUAGUAAUUUAUGUGUGACUUAUGUUUUUAAAUUUUCUCAAAAAUUUUUUUAAAUAAGACAGACGAUUAAAAUUGGGUACGGAAAUUUAUGGCUGCACUUAAA
rfam:Oryza glumipatula chromosome 1, whole genome shotgun sequence.